AAGAUACUAGUAAAAUCGUCCAUUACACUUCUUUGUCAAAGCAGCAUUGCGGGUUAGACCCCCGCGUAUCUUA
rnacentral:tRNA from 1 species